AGGGCACUGUUGGCUCUUGUAUUCCAAUGAAGGCUCAGGUCUAAAAUGGGCCAGGGCAAGCUCUCAGACCACGUGGGUACCCAUAAGUAUCCCCUGAAACACCUCUACCUGCUGGUGUGCUAGAAAUUGGAGAAGGAAGGAAAUGAAGGACCAAAAUUUCAAGAUGUUCAUCGAAGUACUUCUAACACCCUUGGGAAUGAGGGCUCUGAACCAGAAAGAGUUACCAUGCAGCUAUUCUGCCAGGAGACUACAUUGUAGCAACAGGGAAUCAUAGGCCCUCACAGGGAAGCAUUUACUUUUGCAAUGGGACUGGAACGGGUGAUAUCAGGACUUAAGAGAGAGAUGAUAGCAGGUGGCAGCAUAUGAGAAGCUGCCAGAUGGUGUGGAGCAAAGUACUAUUUAUACCACAUUAUAGGCUUCUCUGUUUAAUAUACUAUGGUGGUUAAAAAUCAUUACUGAAUUUUGAACCCUUUAUUUUAUGAAAUUUGACCCUUUUGAUCUCUGCAUCUCCCAUUGAAAUCUAUGUGAGACUUUCCACAGAAGUCAUGGGAAGGUAGGUUGGAUCCAAGUUGCAUUCAAAAAUGUUUCACUGCAUGACUUGCAGAAAUGGCCAGAGGUUCUCUGAAAUUUCUUUUGGCUUAUUAAUUUAUAAGAUGCACUUCCUUGUAAAUCCAUUUCUAUGAAAUAUUACUGCUUUUGAAAAAUAAAACUGAUUUUGUUUUCAACUGGGGACACAAGUGUUCUGUUGAAAAUGUGUUGCCAUUCUUGUGCAAAUGUAUGUUAAUACU